GUUUCCAUAGUGUAGUUGUUUUCACGUCGGCCCAAAACGCUGAAGGUCCUCAGUUCAAUUCUGGGUGGAAACA
rnacentral:tRNA from 1 species